UACGGGGGGAGCAAGCGUUGUUUGGAUUUACUGGGCGUAAAGGGCGCGUAGGCGGCGCAACAAGUCACUUGUGAAAUCUCCGGGCUUAACCCGGAGCGGCCAAGUGAUACUGUCGUGCUAGAGUGCGGAAGGGGCUACUGGAAUUCUCGGUGUAGCGGUGAAAUGCGUAGAUAUCGAGAGGAACACCUGCGGCGAAGGCGGGUAGCUGGGCCGACACUGACGCUGAGGCGCGAAAGCCAGGGGAGCGAACGGG
rnacentral:rRNA from 1 species